UACAGAGGUCUCAAGCGUUGUUCGGAUUCAUUGGGCGUAAAGGGUGCGUAGGUGGCGCCGUAAGUCGGGUGUGAAAUUUCGGAGCUUAACUCCGAAACUGCAUUCGAUACUGCGGUGCUUGAGGACUGGAGAGGAGACUGGAAUUCAUGGUGUAGCAGUGAAAUGCGUAGAGAUCAUGAGGAAGACCAGUGGCGAAGGCGGGUCUCUGGACAGUUCCUGACACUGAGACACGAAGGCCAGGGGAGCAAACGGGG
rnacentral:rRNA from 1 species